GCUCUUGUUGCGAUGGGACCGUUAGGAAGACCCUGGGCUGCGUCCUUUGGUUUCUUUUUCCUGGCGGUCGUCAGCCUAGCCACACCCACCCCUGGAGAAGAUGAUGAUAUUCCUGUAAAAAUCCAUCGGCUGACCUUCGUGAAGGGACUAGUACCAGAUGUUACUGGCGGGAGCAGCUAUUAUGUCUGCGUAUAUCCAUCCAGGAAAUUAUUCUGCACGCCCACCCGCUGGAAAGAUUUAUCCAGAUUCCUGAACUCUGAAACCUUGAACCAGGUAUGCAGCGCCCGGACCAUUUACAGUGUUGUGCCAGUAGAAAUGCUAAGAAUCAUAUCUUUGCCGCUUCCACCUGAGAUCAAGUCUAUCGUUGGUGGGUCGAUUAGAAGUCAAUAUGUAUCCUUUCCAACUUUCAUCUCCCUGCAUCCUGCCAAGUUGCCCAUCUGGAAGUCAUUCGCCAACCUCAAAGUGUCCAUGAAAUUUAGAUCCAGUCAGUGGGAAGUCGCCUUUAGUGUAGUUUCAAAAACUGAUUAUGCCAUAACAUACUGGGCAGAAAUACCUGGAUUUUUGAUACACGAGUCUGCUACCAUAAAUCUCAUCAACCAGCCCCUCCUGGCACUUUAUGCAGAUUUGCACGUGGACAUGGUUAUGCGACUGACUGAUAAAUUUAUUUAUUGUCAAACAUACACCCUUCAACAAAAAAAUUUGACUGACCCUAGAACUGGGAAGAGACCAACUUCCUCUGUGCUAAUUCCUUCUCCCCAUGUGAAGAACUGUCAAAUCAGGAGAAGGAAUGAGACCCAUUUUGUGGACACUUGUUCCUCGGCAUGGGAUAACUAUACUUCUGAGGCUCAUAAUAUUUCAAGGAACAGUUCUUCAAGAGGUUCAAAUGCCACACAGCUGGUCAACAUUACAGCCAACCCCUGCACUCUCCCUACCUUGUGGGAUAACUGGCCAUGUUAUACCAACUACAGAAGUUCGCCAGUACCAGAGAUUGUCAUUCAUGAAAAUAUUCUCCUAGAGGGACGGGCAAUUUAUAUAAUUUAUCACCAAAUUGGACUUUUCGAUCAGCCACGGUUGUGUGUGGCCACUUUUUGGAUGUCUAAAGAGGAAACACUCCUCAUGCAGCUUGAUUACCCUUGUGAAGUUUCUGUAGAGAAAAAGGCAGUUUUGGGCUUCCUGAUAACCAGAUGUUGCAGACUCUGAAGUGCUGACUCGGCGUGGGUGGUUACUUUCUGUUUCCCAUGACUCACAUGUUUGGCAGCAAGCUUGUCAGACAGUUGGAAAAGCAUACUUUUUUGUUGCCUGGGUUUCAUCCUAGAUUAUAAAAUCCCAAUUCUCCUCAUGCUAGUCGCGUCCUCUCUGCUUUUGGACACUCAUCAUGGAGACAACCAAUGUCUGCUCCCAGGCUCCUCUUGGACCCGCUGGUUACAUCUAUUACCAGCUUGUGGAUGACUUUCCUCUAGAGGAGGCAUCCCUUCUAUCCACCAACUUCACUUCAGCCAAAGCCUGUCUUUUACCUCUGGUAACAGGCUUGACCGUGGAACCUGGAUUUAAUUUCAAUGUCAAGGCACCGUGUCAGAAAAUCAUGUUUGAGUCUCUGACCGUUAAGCCUACAAAAUACUUCAACCAUGCCAUCGUCUUUCACAACAGUAACAAGAUUCCCCCAAUUUUUCAUGGACGUGGCCUGGAACAGCUCUGUGAGGCCACUAGGCUCAUGUUUGGCUUUUCCAGCUUUAAGCCUGAUGCUUCUAAAGGACAAUGGAAAAGCAGCACCCACCUACCACAAAAUCCAGAAAAAUAUAUUGGCUGGGUAGUGGUGGCGGAGAGUUUUAAAGAGCGCCUGAUCUGUGGGGAGUUGGCCAUGUUGUCAGCACCCAUGAAAACUGUGACCAUAAACAACAAACUCUGCUUCAAAGUACCCCUACAUGAUACCAGAUUUCUAAGCUCUGACCAGCUACUGCCCUUCUAUGAUGAAAAUGUCAGCAGGAUCAUGUAUGAGAGCUACUACACCAACGUGGCCCAAGCUGUGCGCAUUCGAGAUGUCACUGGACUGAUAGAAGCCCUGCAGGAAAGAGCUGUUACAGAACAGUACAAAACAGCAAAAUUGGCAAGUCUGAAAACAUAUCCUGCAGAAAACUGCGGUGCCGGCAACCUAGAAUAUGCUGUCAUUGACGCUGCAGUGUCUGAACUGGCCGUCAGCCACGGUCUUGCUUUCCUGGAAGCACCUCAGGAGGAGUCUCCCAUCCAGAACUAUGUCCAGUGGCCCAUGUUUUCAGAAGAUGCUACCCCAGAAGGAAGAAUUAAAGCCCUCCAGGAAUGGAAUGCCAAGAUGGCCAUCCACGUCCACGCUCAAGUCCUCAGUGCCAACUCUGUCCUGUACGUGACCAAAGUUGGGCAGUCUGCAGGAAAGGCUGUUGGGGGGAAACAAGAUGACAUGUUCCUGGGCCGCUACUAUAUGCAGCAUGGACUGGGCCACCUCAAUGUGCAAACUAGGGAUGAGAACAACACCGUGGUGUUCCCAGGCGUGCCAGAUUCCUGCAUGAAUGGGUCCCAGUACACUGUACAUCAUCUUGCCUAUGCUGCCUCCAUGUCUCCCCAUAUUCUUGCCCGGCUCUGCUACUAUCUUCAGAUGUGUCAAAACCAGCGGCUAGCCUCCACGCCUCAGGGCACUACCGUGCCUGCCUACGUGACCACCACAGCCAACACUUCCAUGUGUGAUCUUUGUGGAGGGGACCUCCCAGCCGUGUGCCUCCACACCCUCUUUUUUCGUCUGAGGGACAGAUUUCCUCAGGUGCUGGCCACGCAGAAGCGUGACCCUUAUGUGGUAACCGGGAUAGCUGGGCCCCACAAUGACAUGGAGAUUCUUGGAAACUUUGGAAGUUUCAAAGAAAAAGAUGAUGACCAGGAGAAUGGACAGAGAUACUCAUAUUGGCAACUAAAUGCCAACUUAACUGAAAGGCUGGAAGAGAUUGGGGUAACAGCUUCCACGCCAGCGUGUCAGCUGAUCACAGACGUAGACUCUUUUUUGACGGUCUUCAAAAAGAUUGAUGCCAUCGUGGACGAGGAGACCAUCAGGUUUAAUGAUGGACUUGUGAGAAAUAACAUCAACUACAAAGAAUCUGUCAAGUCUAUUGCCCACGUGCUACAACUGCAGUGUAACACCAACUGGCUGCCACCGUGCCCAAUCAUCCAUAACCUAUUUACCAGGUCCUUCUUCACCAUACUCCAGGACAUGUCAUUCCCUCUCUGUGUCACCCACCACACAGAAAAUCCUCUCAACUAUGGGACAGUCAGUACCUGGAUGUCCAACCAUUUCCAGAACCUAUGGAGCAACUUCAAGUCUAUCUGGUUUGACAAGGGGCUGCUCACUUGCAGUGACAUGCGAGUAGUCCACACUGAAACCAGCUCUGAUAUGGAAAACCUGGCUGCAGACCUCCCCAAGCAAAGAUGCGCCAUUAGAUUGUCCAGAGCCCAGAUCUUUGCGCCCAAGGCCCUGAAGAUAAAAAACAGGAUCAUCUUUUCCAACUCUUCCAGCACAGAAUCCCUGUCUGCCAGCUUCGUGAAAGCUGGGAAGGCAGAGAACCCCAUCACUGCCGGUCCCUACAUGCACUUCCUAACACAGCUCCAUAAACAGCUGUUCCCCACAACCAAAACUGGGGCCUAUUACAUCUGGCAAACCUUCAUGUCCAGCAAAAAACUUCCACAGGCAGGUUCCACCAAUGCUAAAAAACUCUCAGAGUUUAUUUCCUAUCUCAUGACCAGCAGUCUAGCACACGAUGAGGUCAAUGUGCUAGACUACGUACCAACCACCCUCAUGGCCUACGCGAAGCAGCGACUCAACAAUGCCAUCUUGCGGCUAUGUGGGCAAACGCAGUUCUAUGCCACCACCAUAAACUUUCUACAACCCACAAUCCUUUCCAUGCCCAGCCUGGACUAUCCGCAUGUGGCUGGUCCCGUUCCUGUGCAAGAUUUGACAACAUACAUGGACAUGACUCGGGACCAGUCUGCCACAGUGAUCCAGAGCUCAUGCAGAGAAGAUCCAGCCGCGGUGUGUAAGAUGCGCCCCAUCGUGACAAUACCCAUGAUGGUUAACAAAUAUUCAGGCUCUAAUGGGAAUAAUUCUAUUUUUCAAAGUGGUAACAUGGGUUAUUUCAUGGGCAGGGGGGUUGAUAGAAAGUUGUUGCCAGAUAUCCCUAGGAUGAGAAAGCAUGUCAACACCUCUAUGAGGAGAAGAUAUGCCUUUGCUUCCCCCAUGACAGAGAGUCUCUUGACCCAGCCAGGUAAGGGUACUGUCCGCACCUAUCAGCUGGAAAAAACUAGAAAGAUUAUUCACGAUAUCAUAGCAUCUGGGAAUGCUGAGCCUGAGAACCUGGUUUUAGAGUUGGUAAAAUGUUUAGGGCACGAAUGUGCAACACUAACUUCAGAUGAUGUGGAAUUCUAUCUGGGAGAGUUUUCAUUUAUGGUGAAUGAUGUCAUGGAGGUUCUCGAAACCUUGAAGGCUUCGGGGUGUGCCUUCAGUGAGGAGAGCGUACAGGCUUUGCUUCCAACUUCAAGUCCAGGUACAUCAGAGUCAUUUGUAGAAGUGACAGACAAUAUUAUAACUAGUCUUCCAGAAAUUUCUGUUACUCAGUUCACUGCUGCUCCCCCAAAACGCAGACGCAUUGCUACUUUUGAGGAUAUAGAUUUAUAAUGUCUAAGGAAGUGGCUGUACUCUAUGCUCAAAUUUAUGGAUUAUGCAUGGACCUCAGCCUGGUACCAUACAUGGACCCUAGCAGCCUAAAUCUUAGAUCCAUCUCCAAUAAUUAUCACAAGCUCUGUCAGAUUCAAAAAAUAAUUGGUGGCCAACUUCUAGAAAAUAAUACCCAAACACCUUGCGCUCUCACGCUGGAACUUGAACACUUGCUCUGUAAUGCUGUAGAAUUGUGUAAAAGUGUACUCUCACAUGAAAAUACCUAUGAUCAUGUACUCUGUAGCAAACAGUGUGUUUUGGAUGUUAGUUGCCUUGCCUGCUUCUAUGGUGGAGAUACUGUGGAUAUACCAUUGGACACCAUCAAUAAAAUUGACAUGUUAUUCAAAAA
rnacentral:tmRNA from 1 species